AGCGAACGCUGGCGGCAGGCCUAACACAUGCAAGUCGAACGAACUCUUCGGAGUUAGUGGCGGACGGGUGAGUAACACGUGGGAACGUGCCUUUUGGUUCGGAAUAACUCAGGGAAACUUGUGCUAAUACCGAAUGUGCCCUUCGGGGGAAAGAUUUAUCGCCAUUAGAGCGGCCCGCGUCUGAUUAGCUAGUUGGUGAGGUAACGGCUCACCAAGGCGACGAUCAGUAGCUGGUCUGAGAGGAUGACCAGCCACACUGGGACUGAGACACGGCCCAGACUCCUACGGGAGGAAGCAGUGGGGAAUCUUGCGCAAUGGGCGAAAGACUGACGCAGCCAUGACGCGUGAAUGAUGAAGGUCUUAGGAUUGUAAAAUUCUUUCAACGGGGACGAUAAUGACGGUACCCGGAGAAGAAGCCCCGGCUAACUUCGUG
rnacentral:rRNA from 1 species